rnacentral:rRNA from 1 species
UACGUAGGUGGCAAGCGUUGUCCGGAAUCAUUGGGCGUAAAGCGCGUGUAGGCGGUUCGGUAAGUCCGCUGUGAAAGUCGGGGGCUCAACCCUCGGAAGCCGGUGGAUACUGUCGAGCUAGAGUACGGAAGAGGCGAGUGGAAUUCCUGGUGUAGCGGUGAAAUGCGCAGAUAUCAGGAGGAACACCAAUUGCGAAGGCAGCUCGCUGGGACGUUACUGACGCUGAGACGCGAAAGCGUGGGGAGCAAACAGG